rnacentral:rRNA from 1 species
GACGUAGGGCGCGAGCGUUGUCCGGAUUUAUUGGGCGUAAAGAGCUCGUAGGCGGUCUGUCGCGUCUGCUGUGAAAACUCGGGGCUUAACUCCGGGCCUGCAGUGGGUACGGGCAGACUAGAGUGCGGUAGGGGAGACUGGAAUUCCUGGUGUAGCGGUGAAAUGCGCAGAUAUCAGGAGGAACACCGGUGGCGAAGGCGGGUCCCUGGGCCGUAACUGACGCUGAGGAGCGAAAGCGUGGGGAGCGAACAGG